GCGUGAUAUAAAUACUCAUAUUUACAUACAUUAAUGAUCUUACUGGUUUAUGUGCUGCUCUUUUACAGAAUGUUGGAUCUGCGUAAGUGAUUUCCUCUCCACUGGUUUGAACUGUGUCAAAAAACAAUAAUAAACACAUUUAAAAAAAAAUAUAGCUCCAAGCAGCGAUUAUGGGGUCAAGCCCACCAAGGGCAAGAAAAGAGCUAAAAAUCCAUAAGAUCACAACUGAAGCCAUCAGACAUACAACAGCAAAACAGAUCAGAAUGAAGACUGUGUUUGCUGUUGUUAUGGUCCUGAAGCUGUUAUCCGAUUGGUCGUCUCUGCUCUGAUGGGCGUGGCUACUGUUGCUGUUUUGGUUCAUCACAUUUAUGACAACUCAAACUGAGAUGAA